rnacentral:rRNA from 1 species
UUAAAGGAAUUGACGGGGAGCACCACAACGGGUGGAGCUUGCGCUUAAUUGGAUUCAACGCCGGAAAUCUUACCGGGACCGACAGCAAUAUGAAGGCCAGGCUGAAGACUUUGCCGGAUUAGCUGAGAGGUGGUGCAUGGCCGUCGUCAGUUCGUACUGUGAAGCAUCCUGUUAAGUCAGGCAACGAGCGAGACCCACGCCCACAGUUGCCAGCGUACUCUCUGGAGUGACGGGUACACUGUGGGACCGCCGCUGCUAAAGCGGAGGAAGGAAUGGGCAACGGUAGGUCAGUAUGCCCCGAAUAUCCCGGGCUACACGCGAGCUACAAUGGUUGGUACAAUGGGUAUCUACCCCGAAAGGGGACGGGAAUCUCCUAAAACCAAUCUUAGUUCGGAUUGAGGGCUGCAACUCGCCCUCAUGAAGCUGGAAUCCGUAGUAAUCGCGUUUCAACAGAACGCGGUGAAUACGUCCCUGCUCCUU